GGCUCAGGAUAAACGCUAGCGGCGCGCUUAAUGCAUGCAAGUCGAGCGAUGAGGCUCUUCGGAGCCAUCAGCGGCAGACGGGUGAGUAACACGUGAGUGACCUACCCCAAAGUUGGGAAUAACGGAUGGAAACAUGCGCUAAUACCCAAUAGGCUUCUGGGGUCAUAGCCAGGAGUAAAGCUCCGGUGCUUUGGGAGGGGCUCGCGGCCCAUCAGCUAGUUGGUCGGGUAAUGGCCUACCAAGGCGAAGACGGGUAGGGGGUGUGAGAGCACGGCCCCCCACAAUGGGACUGAGAGACGGCCCAUACUCCUACGGGAGGCAGCAGCAGGGAAUAUUGCGCAAUGGACGGAAGUCUGACGCAGCGACGCCGCGUGAGUGAUGAAGGCUUUCGGGUUGUAAAACUCUUUUCUGGGGGAAGAGGCAGGACGGUACCCCAGGAAUAAGUGUCGGCUAACUACGUGCCAGCAGCCGCGGUAAUAUGUAGGACACGAGCGUUAUCCGGAUUUACUGGGCGUAAAGCGUCUGUAGGCGGUCGGACAAGUUGGGCGUGAAAGCUUUGGGCUUAACCCAGAGAGGCCGUUCAAUACUGUCGGGCUAGAGGAUGUCAGAGGGGGGCGGAAUUCCCAGUGUAGCGGUAAAAUGCGCAGAUAUUGGGAGGAACACCCGUGGCGAAGGCGGCUCCCUGGGGCAUACCUGACGCUCAGAGACGAAAGCUAGGGGAGCAAACAGGAUUAGAGACCCUGGUAGUCCUAGCCCUAAACAAUGGAUGCUAGGUGUGGGAUCGCAAUGAUUCCGUGCCGGAGCAAACGCGGUAAGCAUCCCGCCUGGGGACUACGGCCGCAAGGUUAAAACUCAAACGAAUUGACGGGGACCCGCACAAGCAGCGGAGCGUGUGGUUUAAUUCGAUGCUACACGAAGAACCUUACCUGGGCUUGACUUGGCCGUGGUAGCGAAGCGAAAGCGGAGCGACCCUUCGGGGAGCGGUCACAGGUGCUGCAUGGCUGUCGUCAGCUCGUGCCGUGAGGUGUCGGGUUAAGUCCCGUAACGAGCGCAACCCUUACCCUUAGUUACAUGUGUCUAGGGGGACUGCCGGCGGGAAGCCGGAGGAAGGUGGGGAUGACGUCAAGUCAGCAUGGCCCUUAUGUCCAGGGCUACACACACGCUACAAUGAUCGGUACAACGGGCAGCCAAACCGCGAGGUGGAGCGAAUCCCGGCAAAGCCGAUCGUAGUUCGGAUUGCAGGCUGCAACUCGCCUGCAUGAAGCUGGAGUUGCUAGUAACCGUGCGUCAGCUAUAGCGCGGUGAAUACGUUCCCGGGUCUUGUACACACCGCCCGUCACGUCAUGGGAGUCGGUAACGCCUGAAGCCAGUAGCCUGACCGCAAGGGAGGCGCUGUCGAAGGUGGGGCUGGCGACUGGGACGAAGUCGUAACAA
rnacentral:rRNA from 1 species